CUUGCUCUUAUGAACUUAGCGGCGCACGGGUGAGUAACACGUGGGUAACCCGCCCAUACGACUGGGAUCACUCCGGGAAACCGGGGCUAAUACCGGAUAACAUUUUCAACUGCAUGGUUCCAAAUUCAAAGGCGGCUUCGGCUCUCACUUCCGGACGGACCCGCGUCGCAUUAGAUAGUUGGUGAGGUAACGGCUCACCAAGGCAACGAUGCGUAGCCGACCUGAGAGGGUGAUCGGCCACACUGGGACUGAGACACGGCCCAGACUCCUACGGGAGGCAGCAGUAGGGAAUCUUCCGCAAUGGACGAAAGUCUGACGGAGCAACGCCGCGUGAGUGAUGAAGGCUUUCGGGUCGUAAAACUCUGUUGUUAGGGAAGAACAAGUGCUAGUUGAAUAAGCUG
rnacentral:rRNA from 1 species